GGAGAAGCAGGGGAUCGCAAGACCUUGCGCUUUUGGAGCGGCCGAUGCCUGAUUAGCUUGUUGGUAAGGUAAAAGCUUACCAAGGCUUCGAUCAGUAGCUGGUCUGAGAGGACGGCCAGCCACACUGGGACUGAGACACGGCCCAGACUCCUACGGGAGGCAGCAGUGGGGAAUUUUGGACAAUGGGGGCAACCCUGAUCCAGCCAUGCCGCGUGAGUGAAGAAGGCCUUCGGGUUGUAAAGCUCUUUCAGCCGGAACGAAACGGUUACGGUUAAUACCUGUGACUAAUGGCGGUACCGGAAGAAGAAGCACCGGCUAACUACGUGCCAGCAGCCGCGGUAAUACGUAGGGUGCGAGCGUUAAUCGGAAUUACUGGGCGUAAAGCGUGCGCAGGUGGUUUUGUAAGUCAGAUGUGAAAUCCCCGGGCUCAACCUGGGAACUGCGUUUGAAACUACAAGGCUAG
rnacentral:rRNA from 1 species